rnacentral:rRNA from 1 species
GACGAACGCUGGCGGCGUGCUUAACACAUGCAAGUCGAACGAAGAGCGAUGGAAGCUUGCUUCUAUCACUCUUAGUGGCGAACGGGUGAGUAACGCGUAAUCAACCUGCCCUUCAGAGGGGGACAACAGUUGGAAACGACUGCUAAUACCGCAUACGAUCUAAUCUCGGCAUCGAGGAUAGAUGAAAGGUGGCCUCUACAUGUAAGCUAUCACUGAAGGAGGGGAUUGCGUCUGAUUAGCUAGUUGGAGGGGUAACGGCCCACCAAGGCGAUGAUCAGUAGCCGGUCUGAGAGGAUGAACGGCCACAUUGGGACUGAGACACGGCCCAGACUCCUACGGGAGGCAGCAGUGGGGAAUCUUCCGCAAUGGACGAAAGUCUCACGGAGCAACGCCGCGUGAGCGAUGACGGCCUUCGGGUUGUAAAGCUCUGUUAAUCGGGACGAAAGGCCUUCUUGCGAAUAGUGAGAAGGAUUGACGGUACCGGAAGAGAAAGCCACGGCUAACUACGUG